CCUACGGGAGGCAGCAGUGAGGAAUAUUGGUCAAUGGACGAGAGUCUGAACCAGCCAAGUAGCGUGAAGGAUGACUGCCCUAUGGGUUGUAAACUUCUUUUAUAAAGGAAUAAAACGAGGCACGUGUGCCUUUUUGCAUGUACCUUAUGAAUAAGGAUCGGCUAACUCCGUGCCAGCAGCCGCGGUAAUACGGAGGAUCCGAGCGUUAUCCGGAUUUCUUGGGUUUAAAGGGAGCGUAGAUGGGUUGUUAAGUCAGUUGUGAAAGUUUGCGGCUCAACCGUAAAAUUGCAAUUGAUACUGGCAGUCUUGAGUACAGUAGAGGUACGCGGAAUUCGUGGUGUAGCGGUGAAAUGCUUAGAUAUCACGAAGAACCCCGAUUGCGAAGGCAGCUUACUAAACUGUGACUGACAUUGAUGCUCGAAAGUGUGGGUAUCAAACAGGAUUAGAUACCCCUGUAGUC
rnacentral:rRNA from 1 species